rfam:TPA: Bos taurus chromosome 18, whole genome shotgun sequence.
UCCCUGGUGGUCCAGUGGCUAAGACUCCGCAUUCCCAAUGCACGGGGUCUGGGUUCAAUCCCUGGUCAGGGAA